rnacentral:rRNA from 1 species
UGAGUAACCUGCCCUUAACUCUGGGAUAAGCCUGGGAAACUGGGUCUAAUACCGGAUAUGACUCCUCAUCGCAUGGGUGGGGGGUGGAAAGCUUUAUUGUGGUUUUGGAUGGACUCGCGGCCUAUCAGCUAGUUGGUGAGGUAAUGGCUCACCAAGGCGACGACGGGUANCUGGUCUGAGAGGAUGAUCAGCCACAGUUGGGACUGAGACACGGCCCAGACCUCCGUAGGGAG